AUACGUAGGGAGCGAGCGUUGUCCGGAAUUACUGGGUGUAAAGGGUGCGUAGGCGGCUAAGCAAGUCAGGCGUGAAAUCUAUGGGCUUAACCCAUAAACUGCGCUUGAAACUGUUUGGCUUGAGUGAAGUAGAGGCAGGCGGAAUUCCCGGUGUAGCGGUGAAAUGCGUAGAGAUCGGGAGGAACACCAGUGGCGAAGGCGGCCUGCUGGGCUUUAACUGACGCUGAAGCACGAAAGCGUGGGUAGC
rnacentral:rRNA from 1 species